AACGCUGGCGGCGUGCUUAACACAUGCAAGUCGAGCGAGAAAGCUCCUUCGGGAGUGAGUACAGCGGCGAACGGGUGAGUAACACGUGGGCAACCUGCCCUAGGGAGCGGGACAACCCGAGGAAACUCGGGCUAAUACCGCAUGAUUCGUCGUGCCUCAAGGCGCGACGGGAAAUGGUAGCUUCGGCCUCCGCCCUGGGAUGGGCCCGCGGCGCAUUAGCUUGUUGGUGAGGUAAUGGCUCACCAAGGCGACGAUGCGUAGCUGGUCUGAGAGGACGAUCAGCCACACUGGGACUGAGACACGGCCCAGACUCCUACGGGAGGCAGCAGUGGGGAAUCUUGCGCAAUGGGCGGAAGCCUGACGCAGCAACGCCGCGUGAGGGAAGACGGCCUUCGGGUUGUAAACCUCUUUCAGGGGGGACGAAGCUUCCGGGGUUAAUAGCCCACGGGGUGACGGUACCCCCAGAAGAAGCCCCGGCUAACUACGUGCCAGCAGCCGCGGUAAUACGUAGGGGGCGAGCGUUGUCCGGAAUCAUUGGGCGUAAAGCGCGUGUAGGCGGCUUGGUAAGUCUGGUGUGAAACCUUGGGGCUCAACCCCAAGCCUGCAUUGGAUACUGCCUCGCUUGAGUCCGGGAGGGGAGAGCGGAAUUCCUAGUGUAGCGG
rnacentral:rRNA from 1 species